UUGUGGAAGGGCAUGGAAACUUUAUCCUCCGUAUACUUAAAAUGUGGGGUUUCAUGGCCCAAAAACUUUCCAACUAACGCUAAACAAAGUCAGAAAAGCGGGUCAGGUUCAGACUCUGGGCGCCAACACGCACAGGGAAAGCCACCUCUCUACUUCGCCAUAAAAACCCGCGAAACAUCCAAGCAGGCAACACUCUCACCCGCGCCUACCCUAUAUACUUAUCACUUUUUCAAUUCCUUUUCUUAGGGUUCGUUGCAAACGCCGCAUUCCGCUCCUCAGCUUCACAGCGCCAUGGAGGAUGUUAGGGCUACCUCCGCCUGGGUCGCCAGCCGCUCCUCCCACGUCCUCGUCGACUCCGCAGGGAUUGAGAAAGUGGUGAGCACCAUUGAGUCCAUUCCCAAGGUUGAGUGGGAUUUCGAAGGGAUUCACUACUUCGAUAAUGGACCACUCACCGUCCAGUACUUGUUUGUUCUAGACGCUUUAAAUUUUUGCUUCUGGCCUGAUGAGGAUUUGAAUUAUGACGAUUUGGCAUCUGGGUUAAAGGCAGCUCUUCAAAAUGAUAAAUCUGCCUUCGAUGCUGAUCGCCUGCAAAAGUACACCGGUCCACAAUUGCGCGAGCUUUUGAGGUGGCCUAGACCCCUUCCUUUGGAAGAUGAACGAGUUAGGUUACUUCAUGAGGUUGGGAUUGAAUUGGAAAGGAACUUUGAAGGUAAAGCAUCUAAUCUUGUGCAGUGCUGUGGAAAAUCAGCUGUGAAUCUUGUCGCUCUAGUUGCACGCCAUUUUCCUGGUUUUAGAGACCAUACAGUGUACAAGGGACGCCAGGUAUUUUUAUACAAAAGGGCUCAGAUAUUUGCAGCAGAUUUGUGGGGUGCAUUUGGGGGACAAGGAUAUGGUGAGUUUAAAGACAUCGGCUCUCUAACUAUAAUGGCGGACUAUAUUGUCCCAGCUGUGCUUCGGCAGCUUGGUGUUUUAAAAUAUAGUCCAGCCCUGACCAGUACUAUCGAGUCCAGUGGAGAAAUAGGUCCAGGGACUGAGGAGGAAGUUGAACUGCGGGCUUGCUCUGUACAUGCGGUGGAGAAAAUGCGUGAGCUGAUAAGUAAAAAGUCAGGAAGACAGGUUCUCAGUGUGGAGCUGGAUCUUUGGCUCUGGGCUGCUGGUGUUCAGUGCACAUCUCUGCAACACCACCGAACACUUUCAAUAUAUUACUGAGCACAUCAUAUAUGGAAUUCACCAGAAAGAGAUCAACCUGCUUGAUGCUAUAGAGUAUGAAGGAGAGUCCGUUCUGUUCCCCGAGGCUUCUCCCCAUCCAUAAAAGGAAUCACUACCUUUAGACCGUACCCAGCGUUUCUCUAAGCGGAAAUCAGGUGUAAAUGCAAAAGGUGAUGGUUUUUUACAACUACUAGCAGUGGCGGGUGGCAGCAACUUUGUUUCAUCUUUUUUACCUCCCCUGUUCUUUAGUGGGUAGAACCACUCACCAUCCUAGUAAGUUUUAAACUUUCAUUCACAUUUUUCUUUUUCUGUUUUAUUUUACUUGGUUAAAUGAACAGUCUGAUUUCGCUUCUACCCAUGCAUAAUACUUUUGCUUAGGUAAUUUUAGGUAAAGUCUAUGCCACUCGUGAGGGAAUAAUAUCUGUAUUGCAUAUCGAUCAUCCGAUUAAUCCCACGAAAUUUACUCCAUCCGUGUCCGUAAGAAUCACAUUCACAUCUAUUAUAUAUACACACAUUUAUAUACCUAUAUCAGACUCAGAAGCAGAAUGAAUAUCUCUGUACACCUAAUAAAAAAUAGUUCUAUCUAAACAGUGAGAAUUAUAUAAACACGAAGUAGUACUGUGAAACUUUGAAAAUCUGGUUUUGUUUAAAAACGUCGGAUAGAAUAGUCCAAUUAAACAGAAUUUGUGUACUCGAGAAUUGAGAUGCCGAUUGAUUUGAAGAGGAAGGACAACCAAGCAAGUUACUUUAGAUUAAGAGACAUGGGGACCUAGCCAUCAACAUCAUGAUUUGUUGGUGGAAUCGGACUCAAGCUAAUCCAAAUGUAUGUUGGUAAUACAGGGGCCCACAUAUCGGAAUCUUUAGGAUAUUGCCUACAUUUUUACCAUGAUUUUAGCUCUUUGUUUCUAUUGUGGAGAUUAAUAUAUUACGCCUCUUUUUUUUUUUCUUCUUUCUUUUCUAUAAUUGAUGAUGGUCCUCAAUUCUGUACAUUGUUUAUUAUUUAACAUCUUACCUUCCAAUAUAAGUUAACUCAGCACCA